rnacentral:rRNA from 1 species
AGAUUGAACGCUAGCGGGAUGCUUUACACAUGCAAGUCGAACGGCAGCGCGGACUUCGGUCUGGCGGCGAGUGGCGAACGGGUGAGUAAUAUAUCGGAACGUGCCCAGUAGCGGGGGAUAACUACGCGAAAGCGUGGCUAAUACCGCAUACGCCCUACGGGGGGAAAGGGGGGGAUCGCAAGACCUCUCACUAUUGGAGCGGCCGAUAUCAGUAUUAGCUAGUUGGUAGAGGUAAAGGCUACACCGAAGGCGACGAUCUGUAGUCUGGUUUGAAGAGGACGACCAGCCACCGACUGGGACUAGGAGACC